CCUACGGGGGGCAGCAGUGAGGAAUAUUGGUCAAUGGGCGCGAGCCUGAACCAGCCAAGUCGCGUGAGGGAAGACGGUCCUAUGGAUUGUAAACCUCUUUUGUCGGGGAGCAAAAGACGCCACGCGUGGCUUUCCGAGAGUACCCUAAGAAAAAGCAUCGGCUAACUCCGUGCCAGCAGCCGCGGUAAUACGGAGGAUGCGAGCGUUAUCCGGAUUUAUUGGGUUUAAAGGGUGCGCAGGCGGAGGGUAAAGUCAGCGGUAAAAUUUCGGGGCUCAACCCCGUACUGCCGUUGAAACUGCAUGCCUUGAGUGCGCGAGAGGUAUGCGGAAUGCGUGGUGUAGCGGUGAAAUGCAUAGAUAUCACGAAGAACUCCGAUUGCGAAGGCAGCAUAC
rnacentral:rRNA from 1 species